rnacentral:rRNA from 1 species
UACGGAGGGUGCAAGCGUUAUCCGGAUUCACUGGGUUUAAAGGGUGCGUAGGUGGGUCUGUAAGUCAGUGGUGAAAUCUCCGAGCUUAACUUGGAAACUGCCAUUGAUACUAUCUGUCUUGAAUAUUGUGGAGGUGAGCGGAAUAUGUCAUGUAGCGGUGAAAUGCUUAGAUAUGACAUAGAACACCAAUUGCGAAGGCAGCUCGCUACACAUAUAUUGACUCUGAGGCACGAAAGCGUGGGGAUCAAACAGGA